ensembl:lncRNA
AUGCAAGUGUGGCAGGUAGAGAUCGACGAGCGUCACUUCCUGGGAUCCCGUUUCGCUUCUGGUUCAUGGACUGAGGGCUGCUGUGAUUUUGGCUUUGCAGGACAAUUGCGGCAACUGUAGUUAUCUCCGUGGCUGCAGAUAUUGUGGCUUUGACUUAUUGUUGGUGGCGGCGUGUGUCUCGCAUCUGCAUAUGCGACCACAUUCAGUCAAUAUAAUGCUGUGUAUGGGCGGAUGACGACUGUAUAUGCUGAGUUAUUUUCCUUGCGUAUCCUGAGCUCCACCGGCUGAGUGAUUAAACCGAAACUAUACUUCGCAUUGCAUCUAUGGAGUAUUAUCUUCACUUCUACUGACUCCCGGGUCCCUGUGCCUGUUAUCUGAGUGAUAGGGGCACGCAGUGACGUCACCGCUGUCUUGUUCCUGGUUGAACAUUCAUGAAUUUCGUGUUAAUACGGUUGUGAACCCGUUGAGUGUGGGAGUGCUUUUUUUGCAUUCAUAUGGUCCAGUUGUGUUUUGAUUUAAUUUGGUUAAUUCUGUUAUUGUGUGUUUGGCAGGCAUUAAGUGUCAGCUGUGUUGCCUGCCUAAAAUCUUGUGUUAAUUAUUUUUGUUGUGUGUGUGUGUGUGUGUGUGUGUGUGUGUGUGUGUGUGUGUGUGUGUGUGUGUGUGUGUGUGUGCUAUUCUGUUUUACAGGAGCUGCAGACCUUUUAUGGAGAGCAGGGCUGAAGUCUUUCUUUAGGUGGUGA